rnacentral:pre_miRNA from 1 species
GUACAUAAAUUCAGAUCCAUGAAAUCAGUUAACAUAUGCCCUUACAGACAAUAUUCCUACUUCCCCAUCUGGCUCUGAUACCAGAGAUCAAACUUAAAGUCAUAUGGGGAAGUAGGAAUAGUGUCCGUAAGGAUAUAUGUUAACUGAUUUCAUGGAUCUGAAACUAUGUAC